AAGAAUAAUAACUUUAUUCGAUAAUUCCUUUGUCAACAGUCUCCUCUGUGUCUCUCCAUAUUACCACAUCCUUGUAGAGCGGGUGACAUAGAAGAGCAUAUGCAGCAUACGGUGAUAUAGAGAGACACAGAGGAGACUGUUGAAAUUUCUUGUUGGUGUAACCCAUGUGAAACAUAGGGCUACUAAAACCAUAUAUGUUGUUUAGAGGUGUAGUUCUAUAUUUUCCCACCAGAGAGCGCAAUACACUAGAGCGUCAUAAACAGACUGUAUCAGGAUUGGUAGAGAGUCGAAUGGAUUAUGUGUGCAUUGUGGGAUUUGUGAAACUGUAGAGCAUGUACUGUUGCAUUAUAGAGCAUAUAACAACGAACGACAAAUGCUAGAAGCUAAAGUAAUAGAAGAAGGUGGAAGCAUGAUGCUAGUAGAUAUAUUAAGUAAGCUAAAAAGGAAUAAGAAUAUUAGAUUUGCUUUGUUGAAAUAUCUUAAAGAUACAGGAAAUUAUAUAAGAAUAUAAUGAUGUUUAUUUAUUUAUUUAUGACUAUUAGUGUUAUUAUUUAGUAUGAUAUACAUAUAUGAUACAUAUACAUGCAUCGAUGCUCCACACUCCAGUUCAGAUGGUGGUGGUAAUGCACUAAUAAGCUAGUCUGCCAACCGCCAAUAAACAGAAAGAAGAAGAAGAAUUGGUAGAGAGUGCUACGCGCAGUUUUCAUGUUUUGGUAGAUCUCUUCCUGAAACCGCGUGUAAGCUGUGAACAAUUGCUGGUGUGUAACGCAACAUAAUAGUGUGAAGCUUUGAUUAUAUACACGUAUCUACACUGAUAAGCCCCUUCAUUAGUAGAGCACCAACUGUGAGCACGUGAGGAGCAGCCUCAGUCGGGUUGUUGUUGUUUGAAACUCCGGUUGGUUUUUUUGUUAUUUUGAUCACAACGAGAGAAAUAGACGAAUCAAAGAUGGCGAGCCCAGCCCAGAGUGAUGGUGGAUGGUCGUGAGAACGGUGUGGCCAGCCGUGGGACCAGCCACCGAGGACGUCGGACUAGUUUCGUUCAGACAGGAUACAGAUAAGAAUACACUUACGCUAUUAACUCUACCCGGGUAGUAGUAACUGGACUUUUAUACACACACACACACACACACACACAAAAGGACCAGGAACUGAACUCUGAACUCAAUUUCAUACUCCUCAACUUAAAGGAGCAUUGAGCUGAAGUGUCAGCUCACAGGGACAUUUUCUUUUCCUUUUAUUAUUGAAAGAGCUCUAUUUUUGUUUUAUUUUAUUUUCAUUCUUGGUACAUUAUAGUACUGUGUUCAUUGUUGUGUCCCCUAAUGUAAUAAAACUGUCAACUGUUCAACUCA